rnacentral:rRNA from 1 species
UACGUAGGUGGCGAGCGUUGUCCGGAAUUACUGGGUGGAAAGGGCGUGUAGGCGGGAUUGCAAGUCAGAUGUGAAAUUCCAGGGCUUAACUCUGGAGCUGCAUCUGAAACUGUAAUUCUUGAGUGCUGGAGAGGAUAGUGGAAUUCCUAGUGUAGCGGUGAAAUGCGUAGAUAUUAGGAGGAACACCAGUGGCGAAGGCGGCUAUCUGGACAGUAACUGACGCUGAGGCGCGAAAGCGUGGGGAGCAAACAGC